ensembl:lncRNA
AUGGUGCAGAGUGACAGGAGAGAUGUCCAAGAAAAGGACCACCAACGUCAGGCCACCCAUCAAUCCGCAGUGGCACAAAACCCACAUCAAGGAAUUGCCACUCAAGGUCUGGUCGCUCCCCCAAAGAUGAAACCAAUCCCAAAACCUUGUCUACUGAAGACACAGUUCCAUGUUGACCAAUCACAGCCUGUCCAUAAUAGCAAUAUGAAUUAUGCAUCAGACCCAGCUUGUUCAGAUGUAGAUGCAACACCAGUCCAGUCUGAAUGCUCCAGCUCACCAGUGCUGUCCUACAGACAAUCAGGUUCUGAGGUUUGUCCCUAUGACAAAUCCCUUCCACUCCUAUCUCUUUCAAAACCAAUUCCUGCUUUCAGGGUCCAGGAUAAAAACAAAAUAACCCUUGAGCAUCAUGAAGUUGGAUUGGUCGGCAACCUUGUCAGGGAAAGUUUGGUUUCUGAGCUACACAAAAGAUUCUCAGGAGCAAUUAAAGAGAGAGACUGUAGCACCAAAAAGCCAAAAGAUUUUAAGGCUAAAGGAGAUCACUCUCCUAAAAUGUUUCGUAACUCUCAGUUAGAAAUGUGCUCAUUGCGCUUCCACACCAAAAGACUGACUGACGGAGAAAGACAACAUGAAAAUGUAUUAAUCUCAGGUGUUUUCACUGGAGAGAGUCCAGUGGACGUUCCUUCUGUGAUAAAAUAUGAAGAAACAGAUAGGGAGAAUCUCUUACUUGAAACUUCUCAAAGGACUCCAACAAUGCUGCCUCUUCCUGGUUUGGUGGACAAACUGAUCGAAAGCCCUGCUAAGAGAGACUUAGACUGCAUGUGUGCUGAUACUAAGAAAAAGUCACUGGAGAACUUGUGGCAAGACUGA